GGUUGUGAGGGCGAUCUGGCUGCGACAUCUGUCACCCCAUUGAUCACCAGGGUUGAUUCGGCUGAUCUGGCUGGCUAGGCGGGUGUCCCCUUCCUCCCUCACCGGCUCCAUGUGGGUCACUCCCAAAGCUGCACUCUGGGUCAAAGAGGAUGACCUUCCCCGAUAGAGGUGUACCAUUCUUUGGUCAAGGGUAUACGAGUAGCUGUGCUCCCCUGCUAGAACAAGCUCCCAAGAUCCAUGUAAGGUGUAUAGCAAUUGGGAAUAUAUUUAAUCCAAGACUCUUGCUU
rnacentral:snRNA from 1 species